AGCACCAGCUUUUAAACUCCAGAAGAACUUGGAAGAGAACCCUGUUUCGAUUAGCAACUUUCGAAAAAACGACAUGCUAAACACUCAAAAUAUAGAUAUUGUGCCGGCACCACCAAUGCCCAAGUGUAAACCGCCUACUCUGCGUUUGGAGAUAAUGGACGAACACGCCGGUUACACAACAGUAGGCCUCUCUCCCCAGAGAGACCUACUGCCUCCGAGGGAAGCUCAGCGGCACUUUAAGACCCCAAUAACACACCGCACAGACUGACGCUUAGCUGUUGGAGCUGGCGGCCGGCCUUCCUCUGCCAAUGGUUUUAGAUAAGAGGCAGAGCAGAGGGAAGAGACGGCUCGGGAUGCCGGGGAGGCUCUGCUGGAGCCGUGCAGCCAGACGGGGAGAUGAGCUGAGGCACAGAGGAGACGGUGGCUCUGAGGAGAACCAACCGCCCAGCGUCCUCCCCCACACCUUCAGGAAGGUGGACGUCUGGGCGGAGACGAGGAGGUUGGAGGAUUCUCUCUCUCUAGCUCGCC
ensembl:lncRNA